rnacentral:lncRNA from 1 species
CGGAAAAUAGUAUUUUGACUGCUAAAUGUAAGGAUAAAGACAAUGAGAAAUGUACAAAAAUGUUAUGCUCUAGUCAGUAAAUAUAGUUCUCUCUUUGAGGAUGGUAUGGUUUGUCUGUGUACCCACCUAAAUGUCAUCUAGAAUUGUAGUUCCCAUAAUCCCCACGUGUGUGGGAGGGACCAGGAUAAUGAAAUCAUGGGGGCGGUUUCCCUCAUCCCAUUCUCGUGAUAGUGAGUUCUAGCAAGAUCUGAUGGUUUUCUAAAGGGUCCCGCUUUUAAACUGUGCUUCUCCUUGCUGCUUCGGCGUUGUGAAGGAUUUGUUUGCUUCCUCUUCCGCCAUGAUUUUAAGUUUCCAGAGGCGUCUCCAGCCCUGCGAAACUUCUUUUUUAAAAUAAAUUACCCAGGCUUGAGAAUGUCUUUAUUUGCAGCCUGAGAACGGGCCAAUACAAAGGAGAAACAAGGCCAGGUGUAGUGGCUCAGACCUGGAAACUCCAAUGCUUUGGGAGGCUGAGGUGGGAGCAUCGUUGGAGGCCAGGAAGGCAAGACGAGGAUGGGAAACAUAUCAAAACCCUGACUCUACCAAAAAAAAAAAAAUGGUGUUCUUCAUCCUGUCUACAAAUUCUGCUAUUCACUGCAGGGGCCUCAUUGUUCUCAGCUGACAACGGAGUUUAAAAACAGUGCUGUCCUGAAGGCUGUGAAGACUGCAGUGUGAUUUUUAUCCUGGGAGAUGUGCACUUUUGCGGUACUGCCUAUCUCAUAGUGUUUUCUGAGGACUAAAAGAGUCAUCACAUUCAUGUGAUGCCGUAUGUAAUAAGCACUUAAAGAAUGUAAGCUAUCAUUAUUUUCAUUGUUUAGUUAUUAAUCAUUAUUUUUAAAAUUAUAAACACUGUGCAGUCCAAAUAAAAAUGUUUACCAGUGAGCAACA